UGUCUCUGUUCAAAUCACUAUUCUAAGUCCUUUCCGUAUAACCCACUGACUUCUCUGAAUAAUCCUACUCAUUAGUUAUUUCCAUUUCUAUUUUGCAGUUGAAGAAACCGAAGCACAAAGAAUAACUUGUCCAAGAUCACAGAGUUUAGGAAGUAAGGAAGCAGGGCUUUGAGCUUUGCAUCAAGUGAUGACCCAUAAAUGCAAAUGGAAUACAACAGGAGUGGGUCCCUAAAGUCCCACCCAGAGAAUGCCCUUCUGCCAAAAAAUUUCGGAUUGAAACAGCAAAAACACCUAAGCAACUGAUAGUCAGGUGGUUCUCUGAUUUAAUUGUUUGAAAGCAGUCACUGGAAGCAAAGCUAUGUGACUCAGCUUUGGUGAUGUACUCCAGCUGGAGUCUGACAGGAGGGCAAGGAGCAUGUCUG
rnacentral:lncRNA from 1 species